UUCAUUGUAAAUUAAAUGUGAUAAGUUUAGUCAGUUACCUUUUAGAGCUUCCCUACUAUGGUUGUUGUAACGAGAUGAGUGACGUUGGUGCUGGGGUCAAGAGCUCUCUCCCGAAAUGUGAGGGUUCGGUAUUGGUGGUGGAUCUUCAAUGUUCGAACUGCGAUGGUGAGGUAUCGGGAGUGAAUGGAACAGAGAAAGAUUAAAGCCGAAGAGGAUUUUUCUGUUGUUGAGUGAAUAGUAAGUGAAUAGUCCCUGAAUCCUGGAUGGUUUUCUCUUCUCCCAGUGAAAAAUGCUUUGGCGGAUGCUAAGGUCAGAAGGCACCUGCCACUGACACUGCCAUUAGCCACCCUAUUUCCCCUCUCUCGCUCCUCACUGUCAACCAAGGCAUUUCCACUUGCGGUAAUAAGCCAAAGAUGGUGUAGGUCCUGAACAAAAGAUUUGUAUCCAAAAAUGGGAGAAAACGUAAAGGUUUUGACAAAACAACGUCCCGUCGUAUUGAAAAACUCUGGUUGUGAUUGAAAAACUGCAGUUGUGAUUGAAAAACUCUAUCUUGAUCCAUCUGUUAAAUCCAAUUUCAAAUGGGCUUGAAUGAUGAAAAUGGUACUGUCGGCACCUUUCCAUUCAUUUUCCUUACUAGUUUUUCUUCUUCCUAUUUUUUCCUUCCCCUUUUUUGUUCUCUCUUUUUUAAAAAAAAAAUUAAAAAAUAAAAAAUAAAAAAUAAAAAUAAAAAUAAAAAUAAAAAAAUAAGUAGAUAAAUAAAGAAUUAAAAUAAAAGUAAAAUAUAAUAAAAUGAAACAAAAAUACAAAAAUAAAAGAAAAUAAAAACAAGAAAAUAACACAAAAUAAGACAAAUAAGAAAAAGACCUAUUAUUUAGUCAAUCCGGAUGAAAUUAGGUGUUAACAGCUGCCCCUCUUUACUUAGAUGUUGCUGGAUAAUAUAACAAACGGUGUUUUUAUAUUAUCAUAGUAACAGAUAAGUAAAGAUGACAAUACUAAUUUCGUCUAGGUUUCAAAGAGACAAAAGGGGAACAACUGACUCAAGUAUAUAUACUCACUAAAUUCACCAAUAGAGGUGGUUCACCAAACAAAAUUUGGAUUCGACCAUUGCCAAGCGGAGGGCCAACAUCGCGAAAGAAAAAAACUCAAAUUCGACUAUUGCCCAGGAGAGGGUCGAUAGCAAAACUAAAUAACUGGACAUGACCAUCGCCUUGCAGAGGGCCAACAUCGCAUAACAAUGACCUGGAUUUGACCAUUGCCUUGCAGAGGGCCAAUAUCGCAAAGCAGCAACCUGGAUUUGACCGUUGCCUUGCAGAGGGUCAACAUCGCAGAAGACAAACUUAAAUUCGACCAUUGCCAAGUAGAGGGCCGAUAGCAAAAUUAAAACAUGGAUUUGACCAUUGCCUUGCAGAGGGUCAAUAUCGCAGAGCAAUAACCUGGAUUUGACCAUUGCCUUGCAGAGGGUCAACAUCGCAGAAGACAAACUUAAAUUCGACCAUUGCCAAGCAGAGGGCCAAUAGCAAAAACAAAACCUAGAUUUGACCAUUGCCUAGCAGAGGGCCAACAUCGCAGAAGACAAACUUAAAUUCGACCAUUGCCAAGUAGAGGGCCGAUAGCAAAAAUAAAACCUGGAUUUGACCAUUGCCUUGCAGAGGGCCAAUAUCGCAGAGCAACAACCUGGAUUUGACCAUUGCCUUGCAGAGGGUCAACAUCGCAGAAGACAAACUUACAUUCGACCAUUGCCAAGCAGAGGGCCGAUAGCAAAAUUAAAAAGACUUGGAUUCAACUUUUUGAAAAGUUAGUAAAUACUGAGCAAAACAUAAGGAUUUUCGAAGAAUUCUCCAUGCUUCUUUUGAGACGAGAUGUAAUGUCAUGAGGAUGCAUGAAUGCAUAAACACAUGAGACCUUUGUUUCACUUGUUUCCUUUUGCUUCCUCUCUCUUUUUCUUCCUCUUUUGUUUGUUUGUUUGUUUGUUCCCUUUUUUUUUUAGACUGCCCAUGUUUAGAAUCUGUUAUCAACAUCGUUGUCGAGCUCGAUGUACAUUCAAAACGCAUUUAUUGAAAAUAAUGUCUAGAGACAGUGAGUCCUUUAAUGAAGAGGAAAAGAGUGCAACCAUGAGUUCAAAUUUCCUUUAUCGUUUUUCGCAAUCCAAACUAGCUUGAACCCGAGAGAGUGUGGUACAUGGGUAUGAAAAGUAUACGGUUGACUGACUGUCUGUGGGCAACAUUAACAUUUGCGUUCACCUCAUUUAGGGAGGUGUUGUCAGUACUUAAACAUGUGCGGCUCACAAGACUGCCCUAACUUUUGUUGCGCACAGUAGGUAUGAUUUGGAAAAGUUGAAAGGUUUGGGUAAGGAGGAUUGCCCCAGUUUGAUGAUUUUCCCCUGACAUGACGAUUGAUGGGGAGACACUAUAUUUCUUCAUCUUCAUUUUUGAUGUUUUCUUUCUUUUUUUUUUUAGCGAUUGUGUCAUUCACUACAUCAUUUCCUUCCAGAGUUAAGUUCAUGAGAAAGGUCAGGUCAAACAUUCUUCAGUUAGUCUGGACUUUAAUUGGCUUGUAUUGUGGCUAAAAGGCUAGGGGUUGUGAAAAAAUGGAUAGUGAAGGCCCAAAUAAGUGUUUGAAGGUUAAAUUAUUUUAGCAAGAAUCAUCGGCAAGGCGUCAAAUCAACAGGUCUCCAGGGAUUUGAAAAUUUGGGCAUCCUUUUUAUUUUUUUGUCUUUGUUUGUUUUUGUUUGUUUUUUCCUUUUGUUUCCUUUCUUUCCAUUUAGUUCAUUCGCUUCAGUGCCCCUGUUGUAGCCCUUUAUGAUACAUUUCUUUUUCAUUUCCCUUUUUUUUUUGAAAUUUUCUCCUUGAUUUUGGAUGCCCUUGAUGUACCCUUUGGGUUGACAACGAUACACUAAUGAUCCUCGUUGGGGGCGAUGAAAACAAUUAUGAUUUAUGGCUCAAAGGGGGUGCAAUUGGAUAAACUUCUUUCGUCAUUUGGAUAAAGAAAAAUGGCCACACGUCACUCUGAAGCUUGCUUGCCUUACUUUCUCACGACCUUAAACCUGAAACAAAACUCUGUAGUGGUUGACACAUCAACUUCAUUUCUUUUUCUUCUUUCUUCUUUUUCUUUAAUGUUUUUUUUAUCUCCCCGAUCAACGGAUCAUUGGGCACGUGUACCGCGAUGAAAACUGCCCAGUAUUGCAUAUGCAGCAAUCCUUCGUCUUGAAGGGAAACCAGAAGGUUAAGGGUUCAAGUAAUAUGAAUGCAGGUGCUUUAUCAGGAAAAGAACACUGGUUACCCUCGAAACCUUGAAUCAGGAAAAGACUCGACACCAAUUUUUCAAAUCUUUGUUUGCCUUUGCUUUUCGAAAGUACUAUGUCUUCGACAACUUUAUGAACAACGGAUUCAAUAUGUGUCUUUUCUUUUCGUUUUUUUUUCUCUUUUUUUUUUCUUUUGUUUUUCACGACAUUCUCCAGGACCGAGCUUGUGCUCCAAGAAUAUACCCGUGAUGCUUUAAUUAUUAUCACUUUCCUCUUCCCUUAUUUUACUUUAAAACUUAGUGUGACAUGAAUCGUGUCAAAAGAAAAAACGCGUAAAAGUUGAAUAAUGGAUAAAACCAUAUGGUAUUUAUUGAAUGAAGUAACACAGAAUACAACAAAACUCAAAAACAAUGUUAAUAUGCCUUAGUAGCAUCCCCUAUCGCGGAAUCAUCAUGCGUAAAACUUUUUUACCGCAUCAGAAUUAACCGGUAAAGGUAACUCCUCUCCAUCCAUCCUUGUGAGAAUUAGUGCCCCACCAGAGAAUGCUUUUUUCACUACAAAUAGCCCUUCAUAAUUUGGAGUCCACUUUCCUUUGUGAUCCUUCUGUAUAGGCAAAAUCUUCUUUAACACCAGCUCGCCUCCAUGGAACUCCCUCGGGCGCACCUUUUUGUCGAAAGCCUUCUUCAUUCUUCUUUGGUACAAUUGUCCGUGGCACACCGCUGUCAGUCUCUUUUCUUCGAUGAGAUUAAGCUGGUCAAGCCAAGCUUGAACCCACUCAGCUUCUUCCAAUUGGGUUUCCAUUAACACUCGCAAGGACGGGAUUUCCACCUCGAAUGGAAGUACUGCUUCCAUCCCAUAUACAAGCGAGAAAGGUGUUGCCCCAGUUGAUGUUCGCACCGAUGUCCGAUACCCAUGCAAAGCGAAUGGAAGCAUUUCGUGAAAAUCUUUAUACGUGACUACCAUCUUCUGGACAAUUUUCUUGAUAUUCUUAUUAGUAGCCUUUACUGCCCCAUUCAUCUUUGGACGAUAAGGAGAAGAAUUAAGAUGAUGAAUUUUGAACUCCUCACAUAACUCUAUCAUCAUCUGGUUGUUCAGGUUGGUGGCAUUAUCAGUGAUGAUCUUGUUAGGGAGCCCAUAUCUACAAAUCAACUCUCUUUUUAUGAAUUUAGUCACCACUUUCCUAGUCACAUUGGCAUAAGAGGCAGCUUCCACCCAUUUGGUGAAAUAAUCGAUCGCAACUAGUAUGAAACGGUGUCCGUUUGACGCUUUUGGCUCUAUAGCUCCAAUAACAUCUAUUCCCCACAUCGAAAAUGGCCAUGGCGCAGACAACACGUUCAAGGUCGUGAGAGGCACAUUGAUAUUGUCUGCAUACAUCUGACAUUUCUCGCACUUUCUCACAUGUGUGCAACAAUCAUUUUCCAUAAUCAACCAAAAAUACCCAGCUCUCAGUAUCUUCCUGGCCAUUGAGUGUCUGUUCAUGUGUGUGCCAAAGGCCCCUUCGUGCACUUCCCUUAAUAUCAGCUCGGCCUCCUUCGCAUCCACGCAUCUGAGGAGAACCAUGUCAUGAUUUCUUUUGUAUAGUACAUCCCCGUUUAAGAUAAAACUGCCAGCCAAUCUCCUUAGCGACCUCUUAUCGUUUUCAGACGCCUUCUCAGGAUAUUCUCGGGUCUUAAGAUACUGCUUGAUAUCAAAAUACCAAGGUUUACCAUCUAUCUCCUCCUCGAUGAAAAGGCAAUAUGCUGGCUCCGCGUGAAAUCAUUGGUACACUAGUGCAAAAAUCACUUUUUAUAACGUACAAAAAUGACCUAUUAUAAUGUACAAACUGAAGAUAUAGUUCUGGACGAUAUAAUAAGUCUGCACAUUUUAUAACGUAAUAAAAAAAUACGUUAUAAUAGAUCCAACAUAUUAUAACGUAAAAAAACAAAUACGUUAUAAUAAAUCCAACAUAUUAUAACGUAGAAAAAAAAAGUACGUUGCAAUAAAUUCAACAUAUUAUAACGUAGAAAAAAAAAGUACGUUACAAUAAAUUCAGCAUAUUAUAACGUAGAAAAAAAAAUGUUAUAAUAGAUUAUGCCUAUUAUAACGUAACAAAAAAAGUACGUUAUAAAAGAUGGCUUUUUUUAAAAAAAAAAUUAUGCUUACAUCUUGCAUCCAAUCAAAUUUCAUGGUAUUAUCUUUCAUGGUAUUCUCAUUUACCAAAUAUUAUGUUUCAUCUCCUAAAAUAAUAAAGACAAAUAAAAUAAAAUUUCAUUGUCUAUUAUAAGAGAAAAAUAAUAAUAAUCCAAAAAAUUCACAAGACAAUAAAAUUGCUAAAGAACAAGUGUUCAAGGUAGAACUAGUUAAAAGCAUGAAAUAAAAUACGUUCAAGAUAGAAAGAAUAAUGUGUGACAAUAUAGCAAUAUUUUACUACACAUUAAACUCUAAAAGCCUAUAGAAAAAUAAUCAAGAUAAGACUCAUUAUUCUUGAGUGGCAGGAUUUGUUCUAGUAGAAGGGCUAUCGGCAAAAUAUUCUCUAUGCUUGAGUGGCAAGAUCUGUUCCAAUAAAAGAGCUUAAUGUCCUAAAUUCACGCCAUACUGGUCAUAAAGUAUAAUAAAUAGGUUCAAUGUAAAAGAAAAUAACAUAGUUACAAUACAAUUAGAAAAAAUAAAUUAUAUAUGUUAUCUGCGAUGUCUAAAUAAAAAGCAUCACAUUGAUCUAAAUAGAAGCUUAAAAACACACUAGUGGAAAAAUGCGGCAGGCUAUUCAACAAUCACUACUAAAGCAAGAUAUUUUGACAUAAUUCAAAUACACAACCAAGAUCAAAAGGUUCAUGUUAGGAUCCUUCGUCAUUCAGUUCUAUGUAAAACAUUUCCAAUAAAUUAAGGAGACCUGAAAAUUUAUACAUCACCAUUGGUACCUAAUCAGACUCAACAUCCCAGUCUGAUCAUUUUAUGUGGCCACCAAUAGCAAGCAUAUACUGACCCACUAUACAGCCGCACCAUCCCAAUACCCAACAUCAAGAGAACAAAUAUAAAUUGGAAAAUACUAACCAGUGCCUUAAGGAAGCAAGUAAAGGAAUUAAAAGGAGAAAUUUUUUUAUUAUGAUUAAAAAAGGCACUCCCCUACUAUUAUUUUAAUGCGCUAUCAUAGAGUUUUCAAUCAAGGACUGUUCUAAUAAAUGAGCCAAAUGCACUAAAGUUGCUACUGCCUGCUUCAAUAUUUAUUUAGAAAGAUUUAACCCUUCCUAUUUUAAAUAAAUAAAAAAUCAACUGCAUCACUAAUCAUAUCAUGCAUCAUCAUGUUUCAAUCACAGACAACUGUAAAGGAAACUGGCAAACUAAAUCAACUUAGCAAAUGGAUAAAAGAUAACAGCAGUCAAGCCAAAAAUGUGAGGAUGAUUGUACAAAUGAUUGAAUGUGGCAUGCCAUAAGUUACAACUACCANNNNNNNNNNNNNNNNNNNNNNNNNNNNNNNNNNNNNNNNNNNNNNNNNNNNNNNNNNNNNNNNNNNNNNNNNNNNNNNNNNNNNNNNNNNNNNNNNNNNNNNNNNNNNNNNNNNNNNNNNNNNNNNNNNNNNNNNNNNNNNNNNNNNNNNNNNNNNNNNNNNNNNNNNNNNNNNNNNNNNNNNNNNNNNNNNNNNNNNNNNNNNNNNNNNNNNNNNNNNNNNNNNNNNNNNNNNNNNNNNNNNNNNNNNNNNNNNNNNNNNNNNAUAAUAACAAUCACAAUUAUUGAAAAUUAAUGAACAUUAUCAUCCAAUAGACCAAUAUAAGGGUCUGCUUACAAUGAAAGUAAAAUUGCAAUAUUAUAAAGCAAAAUGCAGAGGAUAAAGAAUUAUAAAUCCUUAAUGAUAAAAGUAAUAUUGAUUCCAGUAGUGUAAUAAAAUGGUGUAAAACCAAAUCGAAAACCGAAUUAAUAUACUCACAAAUGGAAAAGUCCCAAGAUAUUAUUGGACCACGGUAAUAAAUGGCAAUUCAAAGGCAUAGAGUCUUAUAUCAUCCAUAAUUCUAAUAACUGGUAGUAUAAAAGUUUCAAUUCCAUAUCCCACACAUGUCUCAUGCCUUCACAUGAACUAAACACAUACACGGAAGAUAGAACUAAUUAAUAUGCUAUCUGGAAUAAAGUAAUGUAAGCCAUAGUAUUUCUAAUAAAGAGAAAAGAGUGAAAUAUGUAUCAUUAAUGUGAUACAGAUAAGAAAAAAUUGAAAAUUAUUAUAAAUCCAGCACAUAACACAACAGAGGAUGUGGGAAAACAACACCAUAUGUUAUUAUUUGAUCUGGAAAUAAACACAAAUUAAUGUUGGAGGAUUGGAGGUGUAGAUCACAUGGUUUUUAGCUUUGUAAAAAGUAGUAAAGGGAGACUAAUGAUAUCUGACCUCAUUUGCAUCUUUGCAAUUGUCUAAUCUCCCAUUUUUAGGCCACCUGACUCGCCAGCAUCUACAACCAUUGAACAGAGAAAGGUUAAAGAAAAUGUGAAACAAGCAUAAAAAGAGGAAAAUAAUAUGAAUAAACUGACUAUAUAUAUAUCAGUAAAUACAGCUAUUCAAUCUUGUAUAAUCAUGAAGAUUUUGAAACAACAACAACAUCAACAUAGAAAAAAAGGUUUACAGAGAUACCAUUUAUCUUAAAAAGCAAUUCUUUAGAACAAAAUACGGAAAAGCAACUCAAAAAUAGCUGUACCAUUUAUCUUAAAAAGCAAUUCUUUAGAACAAAAUACGGAAAAGCAACUCAAAAAUAGCUGAUCUAUACAGUUUAGCACUUCAUACUUCAAAAUUAAACACCAUAUACAAUNAAUACAUGGAACAUUUAAACUAAAAUGAAACAAGUGUCUAAAUAUUGUUAUCCUCCUUUAAUUGAUAUUUUCUCAAAUAUAUCAAUGAUUAUGGUAAUUUAUAUAUGUAAUAGAAGCAAGACCAAAAAAAUUCUAGCUUCUCUUUCCCAAUGUGGCGUGCAAGCUCCUCAGCCACAACUUGACCAGGUGAAUCCCCAUCAGUGGCAAGUAUAACCCGAGUUGCCUAUCAAUAUAAAUAUUAACUAAACAAAUAAAGUUUAUGGAAAUGAUAUAUUUCAGCAAAUUCAGAAAAAAAAAAAAUCUAACAAACCUUCUUUAGUUCAACUUUAGAGUUCCACAUAUACCGAUACUAAAAUAAUUACUUAAUGUUAAAAAACUUAUUAUCAACAUACCUUGAGAUGAACAGUAAGACGAGUUCCUCUUGGAAUCAGCUUCUCAGGAUCUGUUUCCUCAGUUAUGUUAUAUGAGCUAACAUUUGCUUCUCCUUCCCAAGCUCCUUCCAGAGAGAAGACGCAGCGGAAAUAUGACAAAAACUCGAAAAAGAACAGAAACAAAGGAUUAAACUUGAUAGAAACCCUAGAAUAAGAAGGAAACUUAUUCUGGACCGAUUGAUCGAUGUAAAUCAAAGUUGAACCGGUGGAAAAAGUUUCUAAUGGUGAAAACAAGGUUUUAAUCGAUGGAAUCGAAGGAAAAUGGUGGAAAGGAGAAGAAACCCCAACGGAGGGUUUAGAUCUAUCAAUGAUUCGGUGGAAAAUGAAGGAUAGAGGAAAUGGAGAUGAUUGUGAAGAAGACUUACCGUGAUAAUGAACGGCGUGCGACGAGGAGAUCUCUCUUGGGAAAGAAGACGCCAGGAAACCGAAAUGAAGAUAAAUGAGAGGGCCCUCUGACGUGAGAAAUGAAAGUGCGAGCAACAGGAAAUGAAACGAGACCUCCAAAGUGGCUGAUUUUUCAAAAUUUAAAGUGGAAGAGAUAUUAUAUCUGACUUUUAAAACUCCGAUAUAAUACAUUAAUAAUAGAUUUACUAGUUUGCCACUGCAUUUUAUAUUAUAACUGAUUCUCAAAAUUAUGUUAUAGUAUGUUUUAAACUUAUUUACAAAUUUGCCACCGCGUUUCACAUUAUAACUGAUUUACGAAACUACGUUAUAAUAGAUCUCUAUUAUAACGGAUAUUUUUUGUACGUUAUAAUAUAGAUCGUUAUAAAAAGCUAUUUUUCCAUCAGUGGUAAUUCCGCAUCUUGGUCAACUUCAAACAUCGAUGACAAAGUAGCCAACGCAUCGGCUAAUUGAUUAUCUUCUCGUGGUAUGUGGUUAAAUGUGAUGACAUCAAAAUACUCCAUUAACCCCCUGAUGUAAGCUUGGUAAGGAAUUAAUUUUGCAUCCCUAGUUUCCCAUUCUCCCUUCAACUGGUGAAUAACCAAAGCUGAAUCUCCAUAUACAUCCAGAAUCUUUGCCUUGGACUCGAUCGCCGCUCGAAUACCCAUAGCACAGGCCUCAUAUUCCGCGAUGUUAUUCGUGCAAUUAAAACACAACCUUGCCGUCAUUGGUAUGUACUGCUUGCCCGGAGUGAUGAGCACUACCCCUACUCCAUGCCCCAUCACAUUCGAGGCUCCGUCAAACAAUAACGUCCAGGCUUCUUCGUGUCGUUCUUUUCUGUUUUCCUCGAAUAGAGCCAUGAUAUCUUCGUCGGGAAAUUCGGGUUGCAUUGGUUGAUAAUCGCUAAGGGGUUGGUGAGCCAGGUAUUCUGCUAAAGCGCUACCCUUAACAGACUUCUGAGUAAUAUAUAUGAUGUCAUAUUCUGACAAUAGCAUCUGCCACCGAGCUAUCCUACCAGUGAGAGCUGGCUUUUCAAAAAUAUACUUGAUAGGGUCCAUCCUUGAUAUCAACCAGGUAGAGUGACUCAGCAUGUAUUGUCUUAAGCGAUGAGCGGCCCACGCCAAUGCACAACAAGUUCGCUCUAACAGGGAAUAUUGUCGUUCGCAGUCCGUGAACUUCUUGCUCAAGUAAUAUAUGGCAUGCUCCUUUUUUUCGACCUCAUCGUGUUGACCCAAUACACAACCCAUUGAGUCGUCCAACACAGUUAAAUAUAGAAUGAGCGGUCUUCCUGGCUCCGGUGGACGCAACACUGGAGGGUCCUGUAAAUAUUGCUUGAUUUUUUCAAAGGCGGCCUGACAGUCCUCGUUCCAAACCACAGCCUGAUUCUUUCGUAACAACUUGAACAUCGGUUCGCAAGUGGCGGUUAAUUGGGAGAUGAACCUAGUAAUGUAGUUCAAUCUACCUAGAAAACCUCGAACCUCCUUUUCUUUCCUUGGCACAGGCAUUUCCACUAUCGCUCGCACUUUGUCAGGAUCCACCUCUAUCCCUCUUUGACUAACAAUAAAACCCAACAAUUUUCCAGAUUUUACUCCGAACGUGCAUUUAGCGAGGUUUAACCUGAGUUUAAACUUUCUCAAUCUUUCAAAUAACUUCCUCAAGUUGAGAAUAUGCUCUUCUUUCGAUUCAGACUUCGCAAUCAUAUCAUCCACAUACACUUCAAUCUCCUUGUGCAUCAUAUCAUGAAAAAGUGCCACCAUUGCCCUUUGAUAUGUUGCUCCAGCAUUCUUGAGCCCGAAAGACAUCACCUUAUAACAAAAUGUUCCCCACAACGUGAUAAAGGUAGUCUUUUCCAUAUCUUCGGGUGCCAUCUUGAUCUGAUUAUAUCCCGAGAAGCCAUCCAUGAAUGAAAAUAGCGAAAACUUGGCUGUAUUAUCGACUAGAGUGUCGAUGUGCGGUAGAGGGAAAUUGUCUUUCGGACUUGCACGAUUCAAAUCACGGUAGUCAACGCACAUUCGAACUUUACCAUCUUUCUUGGGUACUGGUACAAUGUUUGCCACCCAUUGCGGGUAUUUUGCCACAGCCAAAAAUCCUGCAUCAAAUUGUUUCUGCACCUCUUCCUUGAUUUUCAAGGACAUUUCUGGCUUCAUUCUUCUUAGUUUCUGUUUGACCGGGAGGCAUUCCGGCUUAAGAGGAAGUUUAUGCUCCACGAUAUCGGUAUCCAAACAGGGCAUAUCAUUGUACGACCAAGCGAAAACGUCCUUAAACUCCCUCAAUAGGACACGUAACCUCUCUCUCACUUCCUCUUUCAUGGUAGUACCGAUAUUUACUUCUUUUAUCUCGUCUUCCUCACCCAAGUUGAGUAUUUCAACCUCCUCUUGAUGGGGUUUUAUUUCUUUAGACUCUUGCUCCACUAAUCUCAUUAGUUCUGGAGAGGGUUCUGAACCAUCUUCAUAAUCAUCUUCCGUAUUAUCGACAGGGUGCUCAAAAUUAGGGAUUUCGACAUUGUUAUUUUCAAAACAUUCAUUGUCAUAUCUGCAUUAUUUAAGUUUGCGAAAAGAAGAAUAAAUAAACAAGAAAAACGAUUGAGAAGGCUAAAACGAAAACAAACACGAUUCAAAUAACACACUGGAAGCAAAAUAAAAGCGUCAACCCGUAAGUCAUGAAUCCUAAAGCUCCGGAUAAAGCAAUAGGAUUAAUUAAAAUAUUACGUUUUAUUCGAAUUAAACAUCACAGGUAAAUCCAAAGUCUUCCAAUUGUUGAGCUGCACAUCUGGGGAGCAAGCCCACACGAAGUCUGAGCUUUCAGAUCCAGCUUCAUCUUGCACCACUGCUAUCUGGCUAGCGUUCACCCAUCCAGCACUGCGAAAACUCUCCUUGAUAUCACAUAUGCGAAUCUUUCUUGCCCUUGGUUCUCGUCUCUCCACUCGAGCCAGACUGCGUUCUCUCUUUUCUUCAAUCAACAUCUUCUUAUCUUCUUUGCUGGGCUUGUACCCUAGGCCAUACCUACCUUUGUUCUCGACCACCUUCAAUGGGAAUGUCCGCCCCUGCCCGUACUUGCCUAAACCGCUUCCAUACUUAUAACCUUCCUUCAGCAUGACUUUGGCCACCAUGAUAGAGGCGGAUGACAAAUGCGGGUUUACUGGGAAUGACUCCACAUAAGCGUUUCCCACGAUCUCCAAUGAUUGGAAAGCCGUCUCGAGAGAUUCCUCGGCAGCCUCAAUAUAACGGGCAGAAGAUGGCCCACUCACAAGGAGAUCCUCCUCCCCGGAUACUAUUACCAGCUUAUCUCCCAUGACAUAUUUUAGUUUCUGGUGUAGGGUGGAAGGCACAACCCCCGCAGAAUGGAUCCACGGGCGACCCAAUAGACAACUAUAGGCUGGGAGGAUAUCCAUGACCUGGAAGGUUAUCUGAAAAACACAUGGGCCCACCUGAACCGGUAGCUCUAUUUCCCCCAUUACUUCCCUCUUACUACCGUCAAACGCCCUUACAAUCAAGGAGCUUGGCUUCAUAUGCAUCCCGUCACAAGGUAGCUUCUCUAACGUCGUUUUCGGCAUGACAUUCAGGGAAGAGCCAUUGUUUAUCAAAACACGAGCUAUGACAUGAUCCAAGCACUUCACAGAGACAUGGAGAGCCUUGUUAUGCCCUCUUCCCUCAGUAGGUAUUUCUUCUUCGGUAAAGGUGAGGUAAUUGUUAGCAGUGAUGUUGCUAACAAUACCCUCAAACUUGUUCAGGAAAAUACCUUGCUCUACAUGAGCCUCACUAAGUAUCUUCAUCAGCAACUUUCUGUGGGAAGUCGAAUGCAUGAGCAAUUCUAACAGGGAGAUUCGAGCAGGCAUGCGAUUCAGUUGCUCCACCACUUUGUAUUCGCUUUGUUGUAUGAAUUUCAAGAACUCGCAAGCCUCUUCCUCAGAUAUUUCUUUCUUGCUUUCCGUGUCAGGGGUGUCCACCGCCUACAACCCCUUCCCUUUUAAGAGUUCCUUAGCUUUCGCAUCCACCGGUGCUUCAUUAUUGCUAGUUCCUUCCUUCAUCAAGUUCGGUGGCGUGAAGAUUCGACCACUCCUUGUCAUUCCGCCAAUGCCUGAUAUAUUUUCAAUAGCUGGUUCCCGGCGGAAGGAUUGACUUUCUGUACGUUGCCCCUCAUCGAUUGCAUGUGUUCCAUAUCUCCAAGGGACAACUUUCUCACUCUUAUAAGGAAAGGAAGAUGGUGUAUGGAUGACGACAGACGUCCCUCCUUGAAUUGCCGGUGUCGGGGUGGUUCGAGUGAAACGAAUCACCAACGGUUCUGGCAGAGCUACAUCAGGCUCCCCACCAGUUUGUGCAAACACCUCCUCCUUCUUAUCCUCACAGUAUACUUGCAUUAAGUUUCUAUCGAGCAGAUCUUGCAGAAUCUUCUCGAACUCGACAUACUCAUCGAUAGAGUGUCCAGCGCAUGGGUGAAGUCCACAUGCUUUUCCCAAAUCGUAUUCACCGUUUAAAAAACCCAACUUCAAUAACUUCUUGAAAAUAAACCUUCUGGAACUUCGAAUUUCACCUGCACCCCUUAUUAGCUCUCCUUUCUUAACCUCAAUGGCAUUUGUCGAGGCACCUCCAUGCCCGGAUAAUGGAUUAGCAUCAAUGCUAGGCUUAUCUUCUUGAAACUUCAACCACCCGGCGUCGAUUAGGGCCUGCACUUUAUGUUUGAAGUCCAUACACCUCUCAGUUGAGUGACCCACGCCUCCCCCAUGAUAACUACACUUGGCAUCGACAUCGUAACCCCUGGGGUACGGAGGCUGCAUAGGCAUCAUUAGACAUAUAGCAACCAGACCCUUUUUGACGAGGUGAGGUAAUGAUUCAGUGUAAGUUGUAGGGAUGGGGGUGAAGUGAACAAAGUUUCUUUCUUGGGUUUUUCUCAGGUAAGCGCUUUGACACGCAUUCGGAUUUGGAUUCGCGCUUGUCCCAGCCCUCCAGGCGUUGUUUGUGAUAGGUUGCGGCUGAUAAAAUCCUUGUUGUGGUUGUUGCGGCCUAAUUGGAUGAGCAAAUGCCGCAUUGGCUGCAUAUGGAGGUGGGCCCAUGUAUGGUCUAUAAUUGUGAAUAGGUGCUUGACCUCUCCAUACAGGCAUUGCCGAUGCUGCAUGAACAUCUCCUUCCUUCCUUUUUCCUGGAUUGAAAUUGGGUUUUUUAGAGUUUGCUAUCGCAGACGGGCUGCCUCCAAUCUUCCCAUUCUUCAACCCAAUUUCUAUUCUUUCGCCUAUUAUGACGAUAUCGGCGAAAUUGGAGGACACAUUCCCGACCAUGUGUUCAUAAAACGGCGGUUGGAGCGUGUUCACAAACAUUGCCACCAUUUCCUUGUCGUACAAAGGCGGCUCAACCUGCACGGGUAGCUCUCUCCAUCGUUGAGCAUAUUCCUUGAAGGUUUCAUUAUCUUUCUUUGUCAUGUUUUGUAGUGGCAACCUAUCGGGCGCGACGUGCAUAUUGUACUUAUACUGCUUCACGAAGGCGUCAGCUAGGUCCACCCAACAACGGAUGCGAGACGACUCUAGAUGGGUAUACCAGUUCAAUGCGACCCCAACCAAACUAUCUUGGAAAAAGUGGAUGAGCAAUUUGUCAUCAUAGGCAUACGCUGCCAUCUUUCUACAAUACAUGGUCAGAUAGCUCUUAGGGCAUGUAUUACCCUGGUACUUCUCAAACUCUGGCGCCUUAAACUUGUGUGGUAUUUUUAUGCCGGGAACCAAGCUCAAUCUUGCGACGUCGUUGAACCCUAAGCUUUCGAUUCCUUUUAUGGCCCUCAGCCUCUCUUCUAGAAUUUCCAACUUAUUUUUUGCUCCAAUGAGGCUAUCGAUUCCCCCAAUCACAGUGGUGCGCGGUGCGGUGCCGGCCAAAGAGUCCUCCUUAGCAACCCCAGGUGGCAUUGGUGUCACUCGUAUUCCAUUAGUUGCGGUCGUCUCAUUCAUUGUCAUACCUGCCAUGGGUGUCAACACCGAGACGGGACCUUGAGUACCGAUCGGGGGUACAUUGACGGUUGUGGGAAAAGAUAACGAUGCAUGCUCCGCUUCCGAGUAAUCUCCGAUGGGAGGGGUGUAUCCAGGGGGCAUGUCGUACAUCGGGAAGGGAAUUUAUGGGCUUAACGCAUUAUGCACCGGGGGAUAAGAGGGGAUGUUACCCUCAAUCCGCGCCGACUCUCCUGUAGCCUUUAGAGAUUCUAGAGCAGAGAGGAUCUGGCCGAUCUGGUCCUUCAGCUGGCUGAUAUCGGCUUUGACAACCUCGUGCACUUCCUCCCAGUCUUCCAUAAACCUCGAAUUAGCCUGUGUCCUGUAAGGAUGUUGUGGAAGUUUUGUCGUUGUUUUUCCUCACUUUUAUACUGCUUUAUUAUUUUAAUUAAUUCAAAUUAGAUGAAAACGGAAUAUGCUAAACAAAAAGCAAAAAGGUGAUGCAUGCUGAUGAUAGGCGGAAAUCACGAGGUCACGAUAACAUUACUGAUGGAAAUUAAUACGAAUCAGUGCCACACGAAACAUCCCAAGUCUUUCAUAUAAAGAAGUCUAAAUCAUUACAUUGUGUUGGGGGAAGCAAGGCAUGAAUAACUCAUUUUUACAUCACUCCCUAGCUCGAGCGAUAAAGGCCUUCAUUUCGCCUACUAGCCAUUUAAAAUGAUUAAUAAAAAGCUUUAUCUCUUCAGGCGGGUUGCAAAAGUAGGUCAUCGCUUCAGCGUUCGACACCAUCUUUGGGAUGUCCUCAAUCGCUCCAUUUGCUAAGGCAGCCAGUUGGGAAAAACUCUCCUUCCAAUGAUCCACAACCUUUUCUUGUUAUGCGAUGUGAUUCUCCAUCCGCUUUAUCAAGGCUUGAUGCCUUUCUUCGAACUCCAUCGACCUCCAUCGCUCCUCCUGCUCCUCGAUGUGGUCCUCCAUCUGCUUUAACAUGGCUCGAUACUCCUCUUCAGCCUCUGCCCGCUUCCAGCGCUCCUGAUUCAACUCCGCUUCAAAUGAUGUAGUCAUUUCCUUCAUUUGAUGCCCCGCUUCUUGUACUUGGACUUGCGCUUCUCUUAGUGUUUUUAGGGCUUCCCUUUUAUCCCUCUUGGCUUCUUCAUAGAGCUGUUUCCACUGUCUGCCCUCUUCUAAAGCCACAUUCUUCUCAUUCACCCUCAUGGAUAGCUCUUUACUGACGGCCGCAAGAUCCUGCUUCACUCGGAAUGUAUAAUCCCUCUCAGCCUUCUGGCUUUUGACAAUGUUUUCAUAAGCCCGUGACUUUUCUUCAUUAUCAUUCCUCAUAUCCACAAAAUCAUUGCGUGCCCUCUGUAAUUCAUUUUCCAACCUAGCAUUCCUCACCCUCAACUUCUCCAUCUCAGUCUUCAACUGCUUCACCUCUUCACUUUCUGGGGCUUGGGAUGUUCCUUCACUCGCCGAUUGAUCAUUGAUGGGCUUGAAAGGCAACUUGACUUCUUUUACCCUCUCCAGAAUCCAGGUGUGAUGACUAACCCUGCUAUCCAUCACUCCACUCCUCAGGUCCUUCUCUGCUCGCACCACAUUUUCCCAGGCACUUCUGACUCUCCUCAACAUUUCAGUACAAUGUCCGUCCUCAUAGUAGAUGAAGAAGGCUGUGAGAUAAUCUGGUGAAGGCGCCCCCUUCAUAGGAUAUCCAAACUGUCUUUGGACCAAAACAGGGUUGUAGUUAAUACAAUACCUAGCACCUAUGAGAGGUACGUUAGGAAAGUUGCAACAAUGUUGGAUAGAUGGUUUCAUCUCUAGCCAAGGAAGACACCACUUUACUUUCCCUCCAUUCAAACCAGCCAAGAAUAGGGCCCAUACAUUGCCCCCUUGUUGUGUCGGAUUUUCAGAUGAACUCCUAAUAUCAACUGCCCCCUGAAACAUGCGUGCAGUCAUCCAUGCAUAUAGCGCCGACAAACAGCAAAGGAUUUUCUUCCCUUUUCUCUCAUGGCAAAAAAUCAUAGUCCCAUACACAUCUGCGAGGACUGCUAUUACAGGAUUUUCUGAUCUCGUCUUUUUUGCCACGAAGACAUCAAUAGCGGCAUAAUCCACAAAGUCUUCCAUUUUGGGAAACAAAACGACGCCAUACACAGUAAGGGCUAGCACAUCCAUGAAAGGUUCCCAAUCUUCUUUAUCAGCCAAGUGAUGCAAGUAAUGUUCUAGAUAUCCCUGUGUCAACCCACGCACUUGAUUUCUCAUCACCAUUUUGUCUUCAAGCUCUUUAGGGUGUAACUUCAUGAGGGCAGCAAUGGUAGGUAUAGAGGCGUGGUGUUCCAAAUGUUGGUAUGGAGUGGUGCCCUCUAGUGGCAAGCCCAGGAUAUGCUCAAAUUCUUCUAUAGUUGGUGCCAGUUGGAAGUCUUGAAAUGUGAAACAUCUCAGCGGAGAGUCGUAAUACUGGGCUAAGGCUGUGAUAGCGGGCAGCUGCACUUCCACUUCCAUCAGGCUCAAAAGAUUUCCGUAUUUCCUCUUGAAGGCCUCUCUCUUCAUGGUCUUUAGUCGUUUGCCUAAACUUAUCAGCCCUGUCAAGUUUCCACCCUGGAUCUUUAGGCGAGUCUUCCUUCUUAAAAUGGCGGAAUCGGUCUGUUGUGUAGCACCAGAUCUCACAUCAACUUCCAUCUUGUCUAUGAUCAAGUGAAUACCUGUGAUUUCCCCUAAAACCAGCAUGUUACUAACAUGAUGCAUGAUAAUAUGACAAGGUAUCACAAUAUGAAUGACAAAAAUGCAUGCAUGGUAUGAAGACGCAAAGUCAUUAUUUUCGCAAAAAAGAAACGACAGUGUGAGGGUUACAAGAAUAUACAUUUCUCCCUUUGUGCCCUACUAGAGGUUCAAUGUUUCGGUUCAAGGUCAAAUAUAUGCAAUCUCACAAGGAUGGUUCCCUGAAUCUAAAGGUCAAAGGUCACUAGAGCUAUGGCCCCCUCCACAGUAUCUCCGCAACAGUCGAGUAAUCAACUAGGAGUGAAGACACAAAUGAAGAGAACAAACUCUAGCUGGAGUUCUCACGAUAGCCAAACAGGAAGUACAUCCCAGAGUGACACCGCUACAUAACUCCUCUAAUUCUAAGUUACGCUCGGACCCGGGUAUAGGGCCCCACUCAAUAGAUGCACAAAGUGUGUGUGUGAAGGGAGAAUGCAGAUGCAUACCCAAAACCCUCACCUGCAAAACAACCAGAAAACUUCCCAGGCAGAUAUACACAUGUUUUCUACCCUAGGGUUCAAUAUACAAACAAAUCACAUGCAAUUAUUUCAAACAACAAACAUAGAUAAGAAAAGGGAAAGAAAAACACAAAGAAAAACCACAUCGAAUUCGCGCGUCUAAUUAAAUGGCCUGACUCUCUAGCGUUCCCCAGUGGAGUCGCCAUCUGUCGCAACCGACGUCGCGAUGGGAUGACGAUCCAAAAAGAAAAAACGAGUUUGAAAAAAAAAGAGUUUGGAGUCGCCACCAUAGUUUAUUCUGGAAAACUACGGAAAAACCAUAAAAUGAUAAGGCAUGGUCUACAAAACCAAAUUCUGGUUUCGGAAGUCGGUUACGUGUGGGGAAGGUGUUAGCACCUCACGAUGCUUGCCCGAAGGCAGUAUCUAUAAUUAAAUACGCGAAUUUGAUGUGGUUUUCGAAAUGUUUAAUUUCCCCUAAAAAGUGAAAAUCUAAAGAUACAAAAAUAUAUAUAUAUUUUUUAAUUUUUGUGCCCGACAAGGGAUGACCUUGCUCCUAUGUAUUCUCAGUCAGACUGAGAAAUCAGGGUUACGUAGUUCUAGAUGAAAGAUUGUUUGUUGUUUGGGAAACAGAUGUUUUGUAUUUUGGUAUUUCUAUGUGAGAAAGAGAAAAAGGCUUGUAGCACAAGGCCUACGCUAACGGUCGCACGUGUGCUUUAACCUUUUAAAACAUUUUUUAUUUUUGUGAAAGAAAGAUGGAAAAGGCUUUUAACACAAGGCCUACGCGAACGGUCGCACGUGUGCUAUAACCUUUUAAAAUAGAUUUUUUUUUAUGGAAGACAAAGGGAAAAUGCUUUUAACACAAGGCCUACGCGAACGGUCGCACGUGUGUUAUAACUUUUUAAAACAUAUUUUGAUUUCUAUGAAAGAAGAAGGGAAAAGGCUUUUAGCACAAGGCCUACGCGAACAGUCGCACGUGUGCUAUAACCUGGAGAAAAAAGUCUUAGCACAAGGCCUACGCGAACGGUCGCACGUGUGCUUUAACCUUUUGAAACAUAUUUUUAUUGUUUUCAAUAUUUAUAUAUUUAAAAAGAAAAUAAAUGUUCAAAACGGAAAGAGGAUAAAAUAAAAUACCAAGAUAAAUAAAUAAGAAUAAAAAUAAAAACAAAAUAAGAUAAAAAGCAAAAUAAAAUAAUAAUAAAAAAACAAAAAAAAUAAAUAAAUAAAAAAAUUAAAAAAAAAAUGAGAAUGCAUUUAAUAAUAAAAGGGGGUGAAACUUAGCAGAGGUAAGGGUGCCAGGAAGAAAAAACUUUUUAAGCAACAUGGGCUUAAACCCUAAGAGAAUGGGUGCGAAAUAUGAAACCAAGGGUGCAGGAAAGUUGUUUUUUUAAAAAAUUUUUUGGGUUGGCCCAGCACCGGCCCAGACAGAAAAUGAAGAGGGGUGCACGUGAGAAACGAGGGUGUACAGAAAGGUUCUUUUUCUUUUGGCCCAGCCCAGGCACUCAAGCCCAAGGCUUCUCAGCAGAAGAAAUUAGGAUUCUUUCCUCCCCAAUUCAUUUUACCAUUUUUAGAAAACCCAUCAGGGUCUCUUUCGAGAAAGAAGAAGAAACCUUCCUCCUCCACGAUUCAUGCCAGCCCCCGUUCGGACAGCCACCGCGAGGGACCUUUCGCCUGGUCCGAAGCAUCGCCGGCGACGCGCCACAAGGGUCGCCGCUGUCGUGGGCUUGGAUCCCCUUCUUCUUUCUUCCCCUUUUUCCCGUGUGAAGGAAGAACUCGCCUUCUGCCUUGCAUCGUCGUCGUCGCUCAGACCACGAGCCAGAGUCGCGCCGGCGAUGCAUCUCGCCGCUGAAGCUGUCACCGCUUGACCCCAGACGUCGCCGUCAACACCCAUUGACAACAAGACCUGUUCGCGCGCGAGAGAGAAAGAGUCGUUGCCCCUCUGUGACGAGCUUCCACCACCACGAGCGACACCGGCCGUCGUCGACAAAGUUGGCCACAGCUGUCCUUUCCGAGAUUCUUCUUCUGCGCCGCACUCGCCAUCGACAAAGUUGGCCACAACAACGUUUUUUUUUAUACUAUUUAUCGAUUAGUUUUUUGCUUCCUCUAUUGGGAUUGUCUACUGGGAUUUGAAACAGUGUGUGUUGUGUGCGUAUGAGUGUGAGUGAGUUGGGAUGGCCCUAAUAGGGGCUGAAGAGGUAACGAUGAAUAAACUGGUUUCCUUGUUUUCCCUUAUCUGGUUUGGUUUGUCCUGGCUGGUUCUUGGAUUGUUUCUUUCUUGCAGGAAAAGGUAUUGGGGAUUUCGGUAGUAUGAGUCAAAAUGGAUGGUGGUAACGNGGUUGUGCAUGCAGGUUUGUGGUGAGGCAUCUUUUUGAUGUUGGGACGAACGGAUGACAAACGGUGUGCGNUGGNGAGUGUCGAACAGAAUGNAUAGGGAAAGAUAAACAGGAUAUAUAUACANCGUGCAGGAUAUUCAAUGGCAAGCAUACAUAUGCAGUANAGUACAAAGGCAUUCUAACAGCUCUAGAUAUUUAACAGCUCUAGAUAUUCAACAACGAUCAUACAUAAGNGGCGAAGCACAUAGGUAUUCAUUGUAAAUUAAAUGUGAUAAGUUUAGUCAGUUACCUNUUAGAGCUUCCNUACUAUGGUUGUUGUAACGAGAUGAGUGACNUUGGUGNUGGGGUCAAGAGCUCUCUCCCGAAAUNUGAGGGUUCGGUAUUGGUGGUGGAUCUUCAAUGUUCGAACUGCGAUGGUGAGGUAUCGGGAGUGAAUGGAACAGAGAAAGAUUAAAGCCGAAGAGGAUUUUUCUNUUNUUGAGUGAAUAGUAAGUGAAUAGUCCCUGAAUCCUGGAUGGUUUUCUCUUCUCCCAGUGAAAAAUGCUUUGGCGGAUGCUAAGGUCAGAAGGCACCUGCCACUGACACUGCCAUCAGCCACCCUAUUUCCCCUCUCUCGCUCCUCACUGUCAACCAAGGCAUUUCCACUUGCGGUAAUAAGCCAAAGAUGGUGUAGGUCCUGAGCAAAAGAUUUGUAUCCAAAAAUGGGAGAAAACGUAAAGAUUUUGAUAAAACAGCGUCCCAUCGUAUUGAAAAACUCUGGUUGUGAUUGGAAAACUGCAGUUGUGAUUGAAAAACUCUAUCUUGAUCCAUCUCUUAAAUCCAAUUUCAAAUGGGCUUGAAUGAUGAAAAUGGUACUGCCGGCACCUUUCCAUUCAUUUUCCUUACUAGUUUUUCUUCUUCCUAUUUUUUCCUUCCCCUUUUUUGUUCUCUCUUUUUUUAAAAAAAAAAAUAAAAAAAUAAAAAAUAAAAAAUAAAAAUAAAAAUAAAAAUAAAAAUAAAAAAAUAAGUAGAUAAAUAAAGAAAUAAAAUAAAAGUAAAAUAUAAUAAAAUGAAACAAAAAUAGAAAAAUAAAAGAAAAUAAAAACAAGAAAAUAACACAAAAUAAGACAAAUAAGCAAAAGACCUAUUAUUUAGUCAAUCCGGACGAAAUUAGGUGUUAACAAUGUGCUAUUCAUAAUGUACACUGCAAUGUUUGUAAGAACUUCCUUAGUUUCAUAUUAAAUGUUUAGUGCGAAAGGUUCUUGAAUUUAGAAAUAAAAACAGAGUUGCAGGUUUUAUAAAAUGAGCGUUUAGACAAGAGAGAAAUAACAAUUGCACAGAUAUUUUUAUACCAGUUCACUCCAACUAAGCUACGCUCAGUCUCCUCUACAGAGGGUUCCACUAUAAUCUUUAAAAAUAUUACAACUAAGUAUUCACACUACUCCUCAUUUUCUCAGUCAACGAAUAACUUCCUCUUACCUUAAACUGGAUGAGUAUUCUCACCACUCCUAGUCUCCUCAGUCAGCGAAUAACCUCCUGUUACCCUAGACUAAAUGAGUAUUAGCAUCACUCCUAGUACUAAGCAACCUUGCCUAGAUUUCCUUA
rnacentral:lncRNA from 1 species